CGGUACUAAAAGUCGCC
rnacentral:misc_RNA from 1 species